AUGGCGGCGCUUCGAGUAGCGGCGAGGAGGCUCGCCGGCGGUGGCCAGACGCCGGCGGUGGCUGUGGAGAAGGCGCAACGCCGGUUCUUCCCGAGGCUCUCCCAGGUCAACCGGGCUAUGUCCACCACGUCCUCCGCUGCUGCUGCCGCAGACACCAAUGGCUGUGAAGAUCGGGAGAAACUCCUGACAGAGAUCCAUAACAUGACAGAGGAGCUGUACGACAAGGUUUCGCAUGCGCAAAGGUUCUACAAUAUCCCUGGUAGGGAAGGCAAAAAUAUCAGUCGGCUGCACGAGGAGCUUGCCACGCAAGUGGGGCCUAGACCCGGCGAUGACUCCUGGCGCAUGUUACGAUUGAUGCAUACAUUAACGUAUUACGGUGGAUUUGCGUCUUUUAUAUUCACCACAUAUGUGCUCACGAGCAUGGCCAUUGGUUCGAUCGUUGAAUUGGAGCCAGAUGAAAAGCAAUGGAUCAAGAAGAAAAGAGGGGAGGCACGCAAGCAAGUGAAACAAAAUGAUUGA
rnacentral:rRNA from 1 species